rnacentral:rRNA from 1 species
UAGGGAAUCUUCCACAAUGGACGCAAGUCUGAUGGAGCAACGCCGCGUGAGUGAAGAAGGUUUUCGGAUCGUAAAGCUCUGUUGUUGGUGAAGAAGGAUAGAGGCAGUAACUGGUCUUUAUUUGACGGUAAUCAACCAGAAAGUCACGGCUAACUACGUGCCAGCAGCCGCGGUAAUACGUAGGUGGCCAGCGUUGUCCGGAUUUAUUGGGCGUAAAGCGAGCGCAGGCGGAAUGAUAAGUCUGAUGUGAAAGCCCACGGCUCAACCGUGGAACUGCAUCGGAAACUGUCAUUCUUGAGUGCAGAAGAGGAGAGUGGAAUUCCAUGUGUAGCGGUGGAAUGCGUAGAUAUAUGGAAGAACACCAGUGGCGAAGGCGGCUCUCUGGUCUGCAACUGACGCUGAGGCUCGAAAGCAUGGGUAGCGAACAGG